rnacentral:snoRNA from 1 species
UCCCUCCAGACUCCUUUCCCCUCGGAUCUAAACACUGGUCUGAGCAGCUGCAAAGGAGGCAAAGUACAGCUGGCGUGGACUGGGGUUCUUUAGAGACCGAUCGUUCUUUUCAGACAUAU